AGCCCUGACAGAGCAAUGGUUAAGCACUCGGCUGCUAACUGAAAGGUUGGUGGUUCGAAUCCACUCAGGGCUC
rnacentral:tRNA from 1 species